AACUGGAUAGCUCAGUCUGUAGAGCAUGAGACUCCAUCUCAGAGUUGUGGGUUCCAGCCCCACGUUGGGCA